ensembl:lncRNA
AUUUUGGCCAUGACUCUUUCUCAUCAGAGCUGGAAAGAUGGUACACGCCCAUGGGGAAAACAGUAGUGCUGGCUCUACAGCAAGAGACAAACAACAAGUGAGAUGAGCAACUUGUGCACCCAGGGUUCAGUGGUCUUGCAUUACAAAAAUGUAGUUUUUAUUUACAUAAAGGGCAUGUUGACUAAUUUUCACUCUCCCUGAUUCCUUUGAAAUUAAAUCCUCAUGUUUUAUUAGUAUAUAGAUGAUUCUGGAGUUCAGCAUUUAAUUUUAGUCUCCUUUUCCAGAAACACAACCGUUAAGACUUUCUAAUAAGACAUUUAAAUGGAGUCAGCAGAGGUCCAACCAUGCUGCUCUAGAAAACCUCCACAGUCUUCUGCUCCUGUUGGCUCAGAGGUUAGUGGUAAUGUGCGCACAGAAACAUGUACAGUGUCUGGUGGAGAGACCUCAGGCUCUGUGGGACAAGCCACGGACCUUCAGAUGGAUAUCAAAAAGGAAGAACCUGAAUAUGAAGAGUGAAACCACGACAGGCUUUGUGGGACACAUCACACCAGUGUGUCAACACACACAUGUAAAAAAGGAAGAACCUGAAGAAGAAGACUAUCUCUGUGAUUGGACAUUGAACUCUGUGUCCAAACCAAAUGGAGGAUUUCAAAUGAAGCAUGUAAAAGAGGAAGAGUCUGAGGAUGAAGACUACCCCCAUACAAUGGGUUAAGUAACAGUCAUUGUAACAUUCCACUUAAAGUUUUCUAUACAAUUCAUUUUAUAAAAAUAUAGAAAGGUGGUGCAGCGUUGCCACCUCAUAGCGUCAGGGUCACCGGAUUCACCCUGAGCCCAGGUUACUGUCUGUGUGGAGUUAUUCUUCAUGCUUGUUUCUGCAUGUCUUUCUCCAUGUUUGUGUGGGUUUCUUUUGGGUCCUCCAGUUUCUGUCUUAUCUCCCAAAAACUAGGCAUUAGAGGAGUUGCCCCUAGGUGUGAAAGAGUGUGUGAAUGUGUGUGCGUAUGGUGCUCUGGGAUGGACAUGUG